rnacentral:rRNA from 1 species
UACGUAGGGGGCGAGCGUUGUCCGGAUUUAUUGGGCGUAAAGAGCGUGUAGGCGGCCAGGUAGGUCUGGUGUGAAAACUCGAGGCUUAACCUCGAGAUGUCAUCGGAAACCAUCUGGCUAGAGUCCGGAAGAGGAGAGUGGAAUUCCUGGUGUAGCGGUGAAAUGCGCAGAUAUCAGGAAGAACACCAAUGGCGAAAGCAGCUCUCUGGGACGGUACUGACGCUGAGACGCGAAAGCGUGGGGAGCGAACAGG